UCCUAAUGAGGAAGAAUUCCCAUAAAAAGAUAGGAAGUGCCGUAUGACACUCCAAAAAAGUAGCAAU